UACGGGGGGGGGCAAGCGUUGUUCGGAAUUACUGGGCGUAAAGGGCGCGUAGGCGGCUAUCCAAGUGGCGGGUGAAAUCCCUCGGCUUAACCGAGGAACUGCCUGCCAGACUGGAUGGCUCGAGACCGGGAGAGGUGAGUGGAAUUCCCAGUGUAGCGGUGAAAUGCGUAGAUAUUGGGAGGAACACCAGUGGCGAAGGCGGCUCACUGGACCGGUACUGACGCUGAUGCGCGAAAGCGUGGGGAGCAAACAGG
rnacentral:rRNA from 1 species